rnacentral:ncRNA from 1 species
UCUUAUUAAGAGUGAUGGAGGGAAUAGGCCCUGAGAAAUCCAGCAACCUAUUUAGUUAGGUGCUAAAUCCUACGGUUAUACCGAGAGAUGAGA